rnacentral:rRNA from 1 species
UACGUAGGGUGCAAGCGUUGUCCGGAAUUAUUGGGCGUAAAGAGCUCGUAGGCGGUCUGUCGCGUCGGAUGUGAAAAUCCAGGGCUCAACCCUGGACCUGCAUUCGAUACGGGCAGACUAGAGUUCGGCAGGGGAGACUGGAAUUCCUGGUGUAGCGGUGAAAUGCGCAGAUAUCAGGAGGAACACCGGUGGCGAAGGCGGCUCUCUGGACUGUUACUGACACUAAGGCGCGAAAGCGUGGGGAGCAACAGG